rnacentral:rRNA from 1 species
AACGAACGCUGGCGGCAUGCCUAACACAUGCAAGUCGAACGAGACCUUCGGGUCUAGUGGCGCACGGGUGCGUAACGCGUGGGAACCUGCCCUUAGGUUCGGAAUAACUCCCCGAAGGGGGUGCUAAUACCGGAUAAUGUCUUCGGACCAAAGAUUUAUCGCCUUUGGAUGGGCCCGCGUUGGAUUAGCUAGUUGGUAGGGUAAAAGCCUACCAAGGCGACGAUCCAUAGCUGGUCUGAGAGGAUGAUCAGCCACACUGGGACUGAGACACGGCCCAGACUCCUACGGGGGGCAGCAGUGGGGAAUAUUGGACAAUGGGCGAAAGCCUGAUCCAGCAAUGCCGCGUGAGUGAUGAAGGCCUUAGGGUUGUAAAGCUCUUUUACCCGGGAUGAUAAUGACAGUACCGGGAGAAUAAGCUCCGGCUAACUCCGUG